UUUAAGCAGUGAAGAAGACUCUAUGGUUAAUACCCAUAGACGAUGACAUUAGCUGCAGAAUAAGCACCGGCUAACUCUGUGCCAGCAGCCGCGGUAAUACAGAGGGUGCAAGCGUUAAUCGGAAUUACUGGGCGUAAAGCGAGCGUAGGUGGCUUGAUAAGUCAGAUGUGAAAUCCCCGGGCUUAACCUGGGAACUGCAUCUGAUACUGUCAGGCUAGAGUAGGUGAGAGGGAGGUAGAAUUUCAGGUGUAGCGGUGAAAUGCGUAGAGAUCUGAAGGAAUACCGAUGGCGAAGGCAGCCUCCUGGCAUCAUACUGACACUGAGGCUCGAAAGCGUGGGUAGCAAACAGGAUUAGAUACCCUGGUAGUCCACGCCGUAAACGAUGUCUACUAGUCGUUGGGGAACGGGAUUCCUUAGUGACGCAAGCUAACGCAAUAAGUAGACCGCCUGGGGAGUACGGCCGCAAGGUUAAAACUCAAAUGAAUUGACGGGGGCCCGCACAAGCGGUGGAGCAUGUGGUUUAAUUCGAUGCAACGCGAAGAACCUUACCUUGGUCUUGACAUAUCUAGAAUCCUGCAGAGAUGCGGGGGAGUGCCUUCGGGAAUUAGAAUUUACAAGGUGCUGCAUGGCUGUCGUCAGCUCGUGUCGUGAGAUGUUGGGUUAAGUCCCGCAACGAGCGCAACCCCUUUUCCUUAGUUACCAGCGGGUUAUGCCGGGCAACUCUAAGGAUACUGCCAGUGACAAACUGGAGGAAGGCGGGGACGACGUCAAGUCAUCAUGGCCCUUACGACCAGGGCUACACACGUGCUACAAUGGUAGGUACAGAGGGCAGCUACACGGGUGAUUGUGAUGCGAAUCUACAAAAAGCCUAUCGUAGUCCAGAUUGGAGUCUGCAACUCGACUCCAUGAAGUCGGAAUCGCUAGUAAUGCGGAUCAGAAUGCCGCGGUGAAUACGUUCCCGGGCCUUGUACACACCGCCCGUCACACCAUGGGAGUUGAUUGCACCAGAAGUGGGUAGCCUAACUUAGGAGGGCGCUCACCACGGUGUGGUUGAUGACUGGGGUGAAGUCGUAACAAGGUAGCCGUAGGGGCUCAAACUCUGCGGCUGGAUCACCUCCUCAUAGAGUUUGAUCCUGGCUCAGACUCUGAACGCUGGCGGCAGGCUUAACACAUGCAAGUCGAGCGGUAACAGGAGAAGCUUGCUUCUCGCUGACGAGCGGCGGACGGGUGAGUAAUACUUAGGAAUCUGCCCAGUAGUGGGGGAUAGCUCGGGGAAACUCGAAUUAAUACCGCAUACACCCUACGGGGAAAAGGGGGCUGCUUGCAGCUCUCGCUAUUGGAUGAGCCUAAGUCGGAUUAGCUAGUUGGUGGGGUAAAGG
rnacentral:rRNA from 1 species